CUAGUGACAGCUGUGCUAAUGAGAUAACUCUUAUUAAUUCCUUGCUUACAUGGGAAGGAACUCACCCAGUCUAGAUAAAAUUAUAGUCUUAACUCAGCGAACUUUUUAAAUGCGAAAGCCAAAAGGAGGCCCCACUAGAAGUGGAGGCAUGGGAAAUCUCCUUGGAGCUGGGCCCAUGAGGGAAUCCACUGCUCUGAAUAGGAUGACUUCUAAAGGAUUUGCCAGCUUUGAAAUGGAUCACAGGGAGAUGGGAAUGGAAAAGCAGAGAAACAUGACAGAAACGUGCUCAGCAGUACUCGUGGGACUGGAGACUAACAGAGCUGACAGCAACAAAGUGCAAAAUCAGGGAGUCGCCUUUACUGGAAGCCUUUCAAAGGAACAGAAUCUCAGCUCUGUUCUUUCCUAAUUUUCCUUUCAUCUGAAGGCCAGCGCUGUAAAGCUGUGACUGUCUGGAGCAGUAGAGCAGCUGGUGUUACCUGUCAGUACAGCUGCUGCUUGUUGGUACCAAUUCUGCCUCAGUAUUUCGAAUCUAUUUUACAAAACAAGUGGUCUCACCCAUGCAACGCAACCAAAUUAAUUGGAACGAUUGAGACAAACCAAAGCAAAGCCUGAAGUGGAACCCACUGCCAUCAUUUCAAGACCUAUUAUUUCAAGUAACCACGUGGGGAACAUGAUGGUGAUUGCGGCCAGUGUGGAGUGGUUGCCUUCUUCCAACAUGGGCAGAGUGCUGCUGAGCCUGCAGGGCUGAGCCAAAGCUGCUACAGAG
rnacentral:lncRNA from 1 species